GCUAAACACUUCAGUGACGAACCCCCGGGUUUCAAAGCCCGAAUGUGUUUAGUGCGGACAGACGGCCGGGCAGAGGGACAUCAGGACAGAGCCGCGAGCAGGAAUUCCACAGUCCCUCAGCACAGAGGACACGAGACAGACCCGAGCACAUCUCCUCGGAGCCUGCACUCCACCCGAGGGGCACUUUAAUCUCAAACAAACAGGACAACAAGAUUAAGACUUUCGGAUUUAUUGCACACCUUUCGUGGUGACACAAAGAGAAUUCCUCAAGGACACAUUUUAUGAGAGUGGCAGACAUUUGAACUGGAGUUGCGCACUGCUCCGAAUGGACGGAUUCUUCAUUUAAUUGCGCUUUGUGUUUCGGGUUUUCCCAGAAAUCCGCGGAAGACGAACUGAACAGCUCUAGCCUGUUGAAAGAAGGAAAAUUGGACAUAUUUUUGGACAAGUUGGCGGAAUGGUAGAGGACUUUUGGGAAAGGGUUUUGAACGAUUGCGUCUGGCGAGUGGAGAUGCCAACUUUACAAAGAAGAGCAAAUCUUCGGGGUAUCCAUGUGGAACCAUCAGCAGCAGCAGAAAGUGAGUCAUAAGUGCAGAAGCUCAAAGCAGAAGAAGUAUCACAAUGAGUCAGGCAGGUCCAGAGGGCAAGAUGAGCUACAGCUUUAGAAGAAUCAGGUACCAGCAUCACAUCCAGCAGCAGAACACAUACAGCACAACAGACAGAGAGAGAAAGAGUGAGUGAGAAAGAGAGAGAGAGAGAGAGAGAGAGAGAGAGAGAGAGAGAGAGAGAGAACAGAUUAUUUGACAUGCUCUUGCCCUGCAGUGGUUUAAAAGGGUGUGUAUUGUGAUCAGAGUGUAAACAGAGGCUCCAGCUAUGACAGCAUAACGAAAAAGUUGAGCCAGUAGGUAACACAGUCUUUUACAGUCUUUUAUUUUACUAUUAGUGCUUUUAUUUCUGUGCAGGCACAAGUAUAAUAACAUUAGCAAUAAUGAUUGCUAAUUUAGAUGAGUGUAACCCAAGUGUAACCCGUUUGUACUCAGUUUCUAUUUUCAUGGUCAGAAAUAAUUACAAAGAAGCAAAAAAAAAAAAAAAAAUUUGCAACGGAACAAAAAUAAAUGGUCCUGAUUUUCAAUGGCUAUAGCAGGGAAACAUUGUAGUAAUACUUUCUCUACCAAAGAGUAAAUAAUUGAUCAAGUGUCUGAGACUCUAAAGUGGUUAUUACAGGUUUGAUUUGUUUCUGUUAGGAUGUGGAGCAUUAGGGAUUCCUUUGAGCCUUUUCUUUUUUUUAAACCUGGUCAUAAAACCAUUGGUGCCAACUGAUUGUCAGAACAAUGAUAUACAGCACUGUGCGAAAGUCUUAGGCACCCUAAUAAAACUUGCCAUCUCAUUUCCUUAUAAAACUGUAGGACGCGUACCUGAGACUACUCUUUUUUUCCAGUCACAACAAAUAUUGACUUAGUUUCAUUCAUCACUGCUUACUGCUCUUUACAGUAUUUUUUUUUAAUGUAGAAACAUUCAAUUUCAUUAUUUGUGAAGGCAUCUUUACUCUACAGCAUUUCUUUGCCUGUGCCUAAGGCUUUUGCAUAGUACUAUACAUGUUUUUUUCUCCUAUAUUAAUUGUCUAAUGGUAUUAAAGACUGUUGCAAAAUCUAUCCAGUUUCAAUAUGAUUUUGGUAAAUCUUUCCUCCCCCUUGAAUAUUAGCACCUCCAUGAUUUUCUCUUUUCACAUUCCUGUCACCUCCACAAAGGAGAAUUUAACUCACUUGAGGAUUAAUAUUAGUUGAUGGAGGCCAUUUGUAAUUUAACAGGGUAGAUGAAAGAGCUUUGCUAAGCAGAGCAUGAAUUUUCUUUUCCGUUUCCUUAAUUUUUUAAUCUCUUAAUUACUAGUCUUCUGUGAUUUCCGUUGCACCUCUUGGCAGUGUGCUCUUAUCCAUCUCCACAUUACACAAGCCUAAGAAAUAUUACUGAGUUUCCCAGAUGUGAGCAACACAAAUCCAGAUAAAUGAUGAAUCUCUGACCCUUGGAGAAACAUAGCAUUAGUUAAACUGCAGUGGCUUCAGGACAUCCUCUUUCUGCCCCAUAAAUCUAAACUACCUUCUAUUAAAUUCAGCAUCAUUGGCAAUCACAGCAGACCAGAAUCCUUCAAAAAUACACAACUUGUCAAAAGUUGUUUUUUUUUUAAAACACCUUGCCCUUUUUAUGAAAUUCUCCAUGUAAUGUUUCAUUUGCAACCCAUUACACACCUCAGAGCUGUACAAGAGGUAUAUGGGGAGAAAGAGGAUAGUGCUGUGUGUAAUAGACUAGUAUAUCCAGCCAACCACAAACCUGAAGGAAAUUCCGCACGAGCUAUAGCAGAGCAUUACUGAGUAAUACCUGUCCUUAUAUAGAACAUUUAUCUUAUGUAGAACGUCUACAUUCAGUUUCUGUUUUUUUUUUCAAAGAAGUGGGCUUGAAAAUACCUAAAUUCAAUUUAGAAAAAAAGCAAAUGACAGUUAGCUAACUCAAACCUCAUGCUGAGUUAAUUCUGGAUUGUGCAUGUUCACAAUGUACUUUAAAAGUACACUCAUCAGUCAAGUCUUGAAAGUGUGAUCAAUUACAGCUUGCAGCAAAGUAAAAUUG
ensembl:lncRNA